GAUGAACGCUGGCGGCGUGCCUAAUACAUGCAAGUCGAGCGAACAGACGAGGAGCUUGCUCCUCUGACGUUAGCGGCGGACGGGUGAGUAACACGUGGAUAACCUACCUAUAAGACUGGGAUAACUUCGGGAAACCGGAGCUAAUACCGGAUAAUAUAUUGAACCGCAUGGUUCAAUAGUGAAAGACGGUUUUGCUGUCACUUAUAGAUGGAUCCGCGCCGCAUUAGCUAGUUGGUAAGGUAACGGCUUACCAAGGCAACGAUGCGUAGCCGACCUGAGAGGGUGAUCGGCCAAACUGGACCUGAGACACGGUCCAGACUCCUACGGGAGGCAGCAGUAGGGCAUCUUCCGACAUGGGCGAAAGCCUGACGGAGCAACGCCGCGUGAGUGAUGAAGGUCUUCGGAUCGUAAAACUCUGUUAUUAGGGAAGAACAAAUGUGUAAGUAACUAUGCACGUCUUGACGGUACCUAAUCAGAACGCCACGGCUAACUACGUG
rnacentral:rRNA from 1 species